rnacentral:lncRNA from 10 species
GAUAUGUUUGCUUAGAGAUGCUUUGUAAUUUCUCUGUUGAUUUUCUUUUUCCUCUGCUUGGUCACUGCUUCUUUUCAGUACUAGAUGGUGUCUUACACCCAAGUCUCCCUUGAUUCUAGGAAACAAUCAGAGUGCUGCCAUCUCAAAUGAGAGAGGUCACAAAGGAGAUACUUAAUAGUAUUAGAAUGGUGCCUGUGCCUAAAGAUUCACGCCCAGUGACCUGUGGAACAAACCUUUUACAGUUUGAUGCUGCUGAACAGCCACUCUGAUUUGCCAUCUCUUUGACCAAGUUGCAGAGCAGAGCUUCCUGGGCUAAGAACAGUAGUCCAGCCUCUCCUCUUUGUCUCUAACUGUCUUCCAGGAUAUUUCUCCCUUUAGGUACUCCCAAUGCUUCCUGUGGGUUGAGGCAGGGACAGUUACCCUGCCAAAGAACCUGGGAUUAUGGAGAAGCUUGUUAUCACCUUGAUCGCACUUUUUCCAGUAUAGAAACUGGCAUUAUCUCCUCCAGUGCUCAGAUUGCACACUCAUGAGAGGUGAGCAAGCUUCCAAGAACAUCCAAUGCCGAUGCUCCAGAAAAGCCUUUAACAAAAGUCAGAGGUCCAUGGUGUGUUAUACCCAUGAGAAACCAGACAUUUUAUUCUGGAAGAUCCUAAGGCUGUGAAGAUGAAUAUUCUCCCAAAGUGUAUCACUGGAAGUGAUAGUGAAAAAGGCCAAUCCCACUUCCAUCCCUUGGUUCCCAGACCCCAGUUUUCUAGCCAUGAGCAAAACAAAAGCAGCAUAUAUUGGCCAUUUUUCUCUGAAAUCAGAACCUAAGACAAAAGCUCAUAUUCCAUGCCCAAAAUGUUUUCAUCAACACAAACUGAAACUGUACCCGUUAAACCAUAACUCUCAUUACCCCUCUCCGAAGCCCUUCGUAGACUAUUCUACUUCCUAGCUCUGUGAAUUUGACUUCUAGGUGCUUCAUAGAAGUAUAAUCACACAUUUUUUUCUGACUUCUAUUCAACAUAAUAUUAGAAGUUCUAAAAAAGGAAAUAAAAUUGGAAAUGAAGAAUUAAAUUUAUCUCUGUUCACAGAUGAUAGGAUUAUAUAUUUAGAAAACCCUGAAAAAUCCACACAAAAAACUGUUGAGUAGUGAUAAUUACAUAAUAAUGUGAGUGUACUUAAUGCCACUGAAUUGUACACUUAAAAAUGGUUAGAAUAGUAGAUUUUACAUGAUGUCUAUUUUACCACUACUUAAAAAGAAAACCAAACUGGUUUUGGUUUUUCUUAAGAAUUGAGAAAAAUGCCAGCCCAGUAGUCAUUAGCCAGCGUCAGAGGUUGUAUGUAAAGAGCACACGUGGCCUAGCAGCUCUGUUUGAGGAUGUAACACCUGAUAAACUAAUGGCUACGUGAGUGCAGGCAAGGGACGGAACGUUUUAACUCCAAGAGUCAGGAAAUCCAUCAUGAAGGUAUCAUAUGCUUGAGACCUUGAGGACAGAAGGGAUUUCCACAGUGGAAGGAGAUUACUCCAGGCUUUCCAACUGCAGAUGCAAAGACAUUGUCUCUUCCACCUUGAGAAUACUGAAAUCUUCUUUAUUUGAUUAUCUUUUGGACCUACUCUGAAUAGCUGCUAAGGUAAUUUUCAUUCUUUUUUUUUUUUUUUUUUUUUUUUGAGACAGAGUCUCGCUCUGUCGCCCAGGCUGGAGUGCAGUCACUGCAACAUAAGCCUCCCGGAUUCACACCAUUCUCCUGCCUCAGUCUCCUGAGUAGCUGGGACUACAGGCACCCGCCACCAUGCCCGGCUGAUUCUUUGUAUUUUUUAGUAGAGACGGGGUUUCACCGUGUUAGCCAGGAUGGUCUCGAUCUUCUGACCUCGUGAUCCCCCCGCCUUGGCCUCCCAAAGGGCUGGGAUUACAGGCGUGAGCCAUCGCGCCCGGCUGGUAAUUUUCAUUCUUAUAAUUGCUGACUAGUUGAGAAGAAGAGGUCCCAAACUACAGAGAAGAAAGGAAGAAAGAUGUGUCCAGUGAAAUCCAGGGUCCCCCCGCUCCCAUUCAAGGCCAUCUGAAAGUAUCUCCCCCUGCUUUUCAAGUUCAUCGAAUAUGUUUAAGAAACCUGGAAUUUCCAAGUCCAUCAGCCUAUUGAAACAAAACAGCUAUAACUAUAAAAUUUAGAUCCUUUUAAGAUUUUCAAUCCUUAGAAUUAAAGAUAUUUAUUACAAAAUAUAGUUGUAUUAAAUCAUAUAUGUCAAAAUAUUACAAACGUGUAUUUCAUAUUAGAUAACUAUCAACAACACAAAAUUUCCUAUCAUUUUUCCUAGUGCUCCAUUUUUUCAGACCUUUUCUUAAUCUAUUUUCUUGUCUGAGACCAAAUACAAAUGAAUCAAAAGCCAUUUCAGUGUUACAUAUUGGGUUUCCACGCAUCCCUGUAGCAUCUUUAUCAGUAGCCUUGCGCAGAGUACACACUUUUGUACCUCCUUCUUAUUAGCAACUUCAUUUUUUCAUAGUACAGAAAAGAAUUCAUAUAACCCCAUCAGGUUCCUUACAUGGACCCAAGUUAAAACGCAUCAUCUCAAUGUCAGUCUCUUGGCUGUCUGCAGGGUAAUAUGGUGAAUUGCUGCCUGUGCUGUAAUUUUGUCAGCUCUUUAGUAAAUUACAGUCAAGGAUAAAGAGGACAGAGCUGCCUACUGACAAACAACAUUCUUUAUUCUCCUUUUUCUACAAUGUACUGAAUAAUACCUUAGAGCGUAAGUCAUCAUAUACCCUAUAUAACAAAUGUAUAAUUACAACACAUGAAGCCCAAAAAAUGAGCUUCAAAGAAUAUCACGUUUUUUUUUAAACAGGAAGUGGAAAGAUGUUUCAGAAGAGUGAGCACAGGUUUUAGACUCUGAAAUCUUUUAGCAGCAUGAUGCUUUUGAACAUCUGAUCUAGGUUUUGAUUCUGCUAGCUACAUGUAUAUUUUAGCCUUUGGUCUUGCAUUAAAACACCAGUUGCAAAUAAUGUUAGAAAAAUGGGGAAUAGAGGAAGGAAUAUUUUUAUUUACUUUAUUUUUAAAAUUCUGCAUAUAUAAAGAACGUUGCUUGUGGCAUCCCUGACUCUUUGCAACAACCUUAUAAAGUCGUCAUUAUUAGCCUCAUGUUACAGCAGAAGCUGUGAGUUGCUGCCAAAGUUGCUUACUAUCAACCUCUGAAGAGAUGAAACAGAGAGUCAUACAAGAUCUGUUUAAAUCCAACAGCCUUUGACACUUUAAACUUCAGAACACAUUGGAUUUACACGUGUAAAAUUGCCUUAGAGUUUGUAAUUUCAUGAAAGCAAAAAUUCAACUUUUCCUUAAGAACAAAUUUAGCAUGUAUGCCUUGAAACUGGCUUAUUAAAUAAUAUGAAAAUGUUCAUUGUGGCUAUUUGGCCUCCUAAUGCUUAGUUUUAUUUAGCAAACAUCAAAACAAAAUAUGUAUUAAUCCAAAGCAAAUAUAUUUUAUUUAAUUGGAUUAUUAAUAGUUCACUAACAUCAUACUGUAGGUAUUUUU